UAACUGAAUUUUGAAUCUAGAUUCGACAAUUUUCAUUUAUUUAGUUAUUUAACUCAGUUUCAGUUCCUGAACAGCCAGAAUUCAGGUUCUGUCAAUGUCAAUUUAUUCGCAUUCACGUCCUCCAGUUAUGUCUCUGACACUACAUACCCGCCUUUUUUUAAUUUAGUUCGUUAUAGUGAAUUUAGUUUAACUUUUCACCGACAUUCCCUGAAACAUAGAUUGAAGAAAAACUAAGCAAUAAAAAAGCAGGAUUUCCGUUUUAUUUUUUCGCAAAUUUUCAUUUCUGCUGGUCUAUUCGACAAUCUGUUUUCAAUCGGUUACACAUUUGCAGUGCCUGUUUUGAUUAAAUCAUUGAAAUUUUGCGCACUACGGUACAACCAAAUACAAACAAUAAUUACCCCUAGGUCAAAUACAAACGAAUCACCAGCGUUUGGUUCAACAAAUCAACAGAAUAGCCUAGCCUGUGGCAAAACUGAGUUACCGGUAGUGACACCUGCCAAUGAAAAAUGAAACCAAGAAAAGGAGGACUCUUCCGAAAAUUUUCCUAUCGGCAGUAGUGAUUUGCAACGAUUUUUUUCGUUUAUUCCAAAAUAGUACAAAUAGAUAUCAGCAAUAAAAGUACACUCGGAGUAGAAGAAAAUCGAUUUCAAAGUGAUUAUUACUACUUUUUUUAAGUGUAAACCAGGGAUGCCAGGUCAUUUUUUCAAAAAUCUGUUUCUGACUCAAAAAUCUAUCUGGAUUUGUCUGGGUCCAACUAUACACAAGUAAAUUUUGACCGGGCUUCAUUUUCGGUGUCUCACCCCCUAUCGUAUAGAGGCCAAAACCGAUCUGGUGAGAUCUGACAAAAUCUUGGAAAAUUUGUAAAAUUUGGCAAAAGAUUUUAUUUGUUAGAGUGUCUGGCGAAGCGAGAAAAGAUAACCAACCUGGCAACGGCAACGCUGGUGUAAACCUAGGACAGGACCAGACAACUGGCUUCUUUUUCCAGAAAAAUAUUUCUCUUCUUAUUCCGGUUGCUCCCUGCUGUAAAUAAUAAAUGCCUCGCGAUCACUGUUGCCAGUAGAGAUAAUUAUGCAUUCUGAAAACUUUCUCCCCUUAUAACAUGCAAUUAUUUAUCAUUUGAAAACACUUAGACAAAUGUUAUAUCGGUCAAAAAUAUAGCUCUGGAUUCAUUUUGAUCAGAUAUUUGUUUUGAAGAAAACGUUUAGUUGAAACACCUUAAUAAAUUUUUUCUAAAACACUCAAUUUUGGGUAAUUAAUUCUUGCAGCUUUAUUAACUAAAGUAUUCAACAUAUUCUAUUUGAGAAAAAUAAUAACAUACAGAAGUAUCCAAAGAUUCGGUGCUAUUCUCAACCAACAUAAUCAAUAUUCUCGUCCAUAUCACACUUCGUGAUUUCAGGCUUUCUCAUUGUAUCAUCCAGUGAUUGUUAAAUGUACUCGUAUACUUUCCACAUUGACAAGACUUAAAAACAAAUUGAACUUAAAUCUUAUUGAAAUUAAUAAUUUUGAAAAGAUGAUCCGAAAAAUAAAAUAUCCAAUAUCAAGCUACACUGUUACCGACGAUACUGACAACACUUUUUCUACCACCCUGUAGUAAUAUUGAUUUCAACAACUUGUACCUGCUUAUGUCAAUUUCAACCAAUCACGAGCUGGUCCGAAAUUGGUCCUAAAAGUGGAUUAACAAUUGUCAGGUCCUGUCCUACACGCUGCCAAAAAAAACCCAACGGUUGACUUAAAUUCAUCUAACAUGAAGUAAUCAAGCAUGUUUUUAAUUGUUGGGUGAAAAGUACUGUAUCGGUUGAGUAGUUUUCACUCAACAGUGUAGUUUACUUCAAAAAGUUGCUGUUGGGUGAGAAAAUUUUGUGUGUUGCAUUGCAGAAACUAUCGGUCAGAUUUGAAGUGAGUGAAAUUAUUUUGUAAAAUUGCCGGUUUUGGGAGAAUAAUUCAAUGAUUGUCAUCAAUCGCAGUGUGAGUAGCUUUGUAUAAUUUCUUUUUAAAAUAAUAAUUACACCGCAAUAUCAUUUCAGGCGAUGGAAGAUAUUGAGAUGCGUUCGAUCGCUCAACGGUGCAGUUCCAGCAGCUGAAUAGAACAGCCUUGGUAGUUCAAUGAUAUAGUUACAUUGUUGAAAUAUGUAAAAAUAUUAAUAUUAAAUAAAUAAAGUAAUCAUAGUUGACUUUAUUGUUUGCGUUUUAUUUUUCAAACCAUCGAACGAAAACUGAAAUCAAAUUACCCAAGUUUAUUUUUAUAUCGCUUGCGUAGUUUCUACCUAAUCAGUACUAUUGAUGCUUUUACUCAAAAAUAAGUAAAACCCAUUUUACCCAAAAUUGGCUUCCUGCACACAACCCCUCUAUUGAGUGAAAAGUAUCUAAAAUUAGGUAAUUUUUUGGCAGCGUGUAGGUGUAAACUACGAUUGGCAUAUUGUCGCAAAACUGAAAUGUAGAGGCGCUGCUUGUUUAGAGAUGAUACUUUCAGCAAGAGCUGUCAAAUCGGUAGGAAAUUUUUAAUUACUCCACCUUUUCAACGAUUUCUUAUGAAAACGGGAAAAUUCAUUUAAAAAAUCAUAGUAGAAGUUGAAGAAAAAGUUUUUACUCUGAGGCGGUAAUGUUGAUCCUAGUUCAUUGUGCGAAAUCUACCGUUUAUUCAGAAUAGAGCAUUAAACAUGGUUCCAAACCAUUUUCCAAAUGCCUGGAAAUAACAAAUAAAGUAUCCAAAAUAAAUAGUACUCGAUCGCUAUGUAUUCUAGUACUCGAUAGAGGUGUGCAAAACAGCUCAUUUUGGUGAACAGCUCCGAACCGAUCAGCUCACCAAAGUGAAUCGAUUCGAUGUAUCAGCUCAUCAGCUUUUUUUAGUUUAAACUUAAGUUUCAUUUUGUGCGCCGUUUUUCUUAUGCACCGGUUUUCUUUCAUAUGCAUGAUCGAAAUUGAAUCAUUGAUUUGCAAUGAUGCAAUGAAUGCAAUGCGAAUUAACUUAUCUUUAAUUGAUGUCGACUAAAUUGAAUCUCUUAAAGAGCCGAAGAUCCGAUCAGCUCGUAGCGUGUUCCCUUCGUCAUAAUGCAGUGAACUGGGUAGCAAAUGAGUGAGCUGGUGAGCUGCGGUUCUUUUGAAAAGAGCUGUGAGCUGUCAGCUCACUUCAAUGAUUCGAUUCACUGGAACAGCUCAGGAGCGAAUUGCCCAUCUCUAGUACUCGAGAAACCGGUUUCCGUUUAAAAAAAUGUUGAUCCGAAAAAACCUAACCUUACCCAAUUUCACACAUUUCUGAAGAUUUUUCAUGUUUAAUCGUAGUUAGCACUAAAAAAAUAGUAGUGAUCACUUUGAAAUCGAUUUUCUUCUACUCCGAGUGUACUUUUAUUGCUAAUAUUUACUUGUACUCUUGAAUAAACGAUAAAAAUGUUGCAUAUGUCGAUAUGAAAGUUUUCGAAAGAAUCCUCCUUUUCUUGGUUCCAUUUUUCAUUGGCAGGUGUCGCUACCGGUAAAUCAGCUUUGCGACAAUUUGCCAAUUAAACAAGAAAUAUCUUCAGAAAUGUGUGAAAUUUGGUAAGGUACUAGAAUGUUCAGUGAUCGAGUACCAUUUAUUUUGGAUACUUUGUUAUUUCCGAGCAUUUGAAAAAUGGUAUUGAACCAAGUAUAAGGCUCCAUUCUAAAUAAGCGUUAGUUUUAGCACAAUAAAUUAAGAUCAACAUUACCACCUCAGAUUUUUGCUAGAAGUAUCAUCUCUAAACAAGCAGCGCCUCUACAUUUCAUUGUGCCAAUCCUUCUAUUUAGCUUCAUCAAAGGCGAGUAAACGAAAAUAUUUUAACUCUACGUUGCUUUGGUUUCAUAAGUUUUGUUAUUUUUCCAGCAGUAUAGUUGACCAUUACCAGAGUUGUUUUCCAACAUUCACAUUUCUGGAUUGACGAAAAUGAAUUGCAGCAGUAAUUCGAAUUAUGCCGAAAUUUGUUAUAGUACUAGCAUUGCCAGGAAAGGGAAAUAAAGAUAUAAAAAUGCGUGUCCUCGAACAUUUAACGGAGUGUUCCAUGUUAUUAUUUGCAUUUGGUACUACUGAACUGUUUUAAUCCAAUAUUCACCCGCACUAUCGAUGGAUUGUAUUUUAUACUGAUGCGGAAUAAAUUUACCAAACUAUCAUUACGAUAGUUACCAUUGAUUUGCAUUUCUUCUACUCGCCCGGAUCAGAGUCACUGCGGUAUCGGAAAGACCAAACGAAAAAAAAAAUGCAAUGGUUGUGCGGAUCCCGCGGGAGGGUAUUACACUUUGCCACUUUACCAUCGUUCUUCAACCGAUCCGAUUCUUCCGUACGUCGAAACACACGUCGGCGACGGGGAUGGCAACAAAGAAACGCGCACAUGUGAAAUGGAAUAUGAGCGAUAAACUAUACAUAAUGUUCCACCGGAGGCAUCUGGCAGUGUCGAGAAGAAGAAUCUGACCAUACACCAAUCGGUCGCAGCAAUCCCAGUGAAACCGUGGUCCAUUUUUAACCUGCC